GGGUGGCCUAUUGGUUUGAUCGUCCGCCUUGCAUGCGGGAGGUUGCGGUUUCGAACCCCGCCAGUCA